AUACUUACCUGGCAGGGAAGGUACCACGAUCUAGUAGGUGGUCCUUCCAGGGUGAGGCUAGUCCCUUGCACUCUGGGCUUGUUGACCCCUGUGAUUUCCCCACAUGAGGGAAACUCAACUGCAGAAUUUGUGGUAGUGGGGGACUGCGUGCGCGCUUUCCCCUG
rfam:Alligator mississippiensis ScZkoYb_8, whole genome shotgun sequence.